rnacentral:misc_RNA from 1 species
CAUAUGCCGAGAGGUGAAAUGAGAAAUCGCCUGAGGAUGAGCUCGCGUCUGAUUAGCUAGUUGGUGGGGUAAGAGCCUACCAAGGCAUCGAUCAGUAGCUGGUCUGAGAGGAUGAUCAGCCACACUGGGACUGAGACACGGCCCAGACUCCUACGGGAAGCAGCAGUGGGGAAUUUUCCGCAAUGGGCGAAAGCCUGACGGAGCAACGCCGCGUGAGGGAUGAAGGCCUCUGGGCUGUAAACCUCUUUUAUCAAGGAAGAAGAUCUGACGGUACUUGAUGAAUAAGCCACGGCUAAUUCCGUGCCAGCAGCCGCGGUAAUACGGGAGUGGCAAGCGUUAUCCGGAAUUAUUGGGCGUAAAGCGUCCGCAGGCGGCCUUUUAAGUCUGUUGUCAAAGCGUGGAGCUUAACUCCAUUUCGGCAAUGGAAACUGGGAGGCUUGAGUGUGGUAGGGGCAGAGGGAAUUCCCGGUGUAGCGGUGAAAUGCGUAGAUAUCGGGAAGAACACCAGUGGCGAAGGCGCUCUGCUGGGCCAUAACUGACGCUCAUGGACGAAAGCCAGGGGAGCGAAAGGGAUUAGAUACCCCUGUAGUCCUGGCCGUAAACGAUGAACACUAGGUGUCGGGGGAAUCGACCCCCUCGGUGUCGUAGCCAACGCGUUAAGUGUUCCGCCUGGGGAGUACGCACGCAAGUGUGAAACUCAAAGGAAUUGACGGGGGCCCGCACAAGCGGUGGAGUAUGUGGUUUAAUUCGAUGCAACGCGAAGAACCUUACCAGGGUUUGACAUCCUGCGAAUCCCUUGGAAACUUGGGAGUGCCUUCGGGAACGCAGUGACAGGUGGUGCAUGGCUGUCGUCAGCUCGUGUCGUGAGAUGUUGGGUUAAGUCCCGCAACGAGCGCAACCCACGUCUUUAGUUGCCAGCAUUUAGUUGGGCACUCUAGAGAGACUGCCGGUGAUAAACCGGAGGAAGGUGUGGAUGACGUCAAGUCAUCAUGCCCCUUACAUCCUGGGCUACACACGUACUACAAUGCUACGGACAAAGGGCAGCAAACUCGCGAGAGCUAGCAAAUCCCAUAAACCGUGGCUCAGUUCAGAUCGUAGGCUGCAACUCGCCUACGUGAAGGAGGAAUCGCUAGUAAUCGCAGGUCAGCAUACUGCGGUGAAUACGUUCCCGGGCCUUGUACACGCCGCCCGUCACACCAUGGAAGUUGGCCACGCCCGAAGUCGUUACUCCAACCCGCAAGGGAGGAGGAUGCCGAAGGUGGGGCUGAUGACUGGGGUGAAGUCGUAACAAGGUAGCCGUACCGGAAGGUGCGGCUGGAUCACCUCCUAACAGGGAGACAAUACCUGAUCGUGAUGUCUGAGUAUUUUUAUUCUUAGACCAUGAUCCUGUCAUCUCGAAGGUCGAUCGGUACCUCAACUUGAGGGUAAGAGAAAAGCUGAGCAAUCAGUUUAGAGACUUGCUAUUCAAUUUCAGUUCCUAAACUUUGUCUAGGUCACCCCACAGGGUCGUCAAAUGUUUAUUUGACGUUACUGAGCGGUAGCAACUCCUGGGCCAUUAGCUCAGGUGGUUAGAGCGCACCCCUGAUAAGGGUGAGGUCCCUGGUUCAAGUCCAGGAUGGCCCAUUCACCGCCUGCUGAGCAGGCAGGACUUGAUGGCUGGGGGUUUAGCUCAGUUGGUAGAGCGCCUGCUUUGCAAGCAGGAUGUCAGCGGUUCGAGUCCGCUAACCUCCAUCCAACGAUGAUGCGCUGCCCUCAGCCCAUGCAUGCUUGUAUGAGUGUGUGAGGUAAGGAGAUCUGCUAUUGUGUUGAUCUAGAUCGUUGUUCGCUGAAGAUUUCAGCUUCUUUUCAUUCUCGUCUGAUUAGCAGAUCAGUUGAAAAGACGCUGGAUUCAACGCUGCCCUGGAGACAGGGCCGUUUGAAUGUCAGCAGAACCUUGACAACUGCAUAGUUGAAGUCUGGAAAUAAAGCAUCUCAUGGAUGCUUGAUUCAGAUCUUAAGUCAAUACCAGAAAUGGUAGGGAUUUAAGGUAAGAAUCAAGAAAAUUCUAUUGAGUUUUUAGAGCCGAGAGCUUCCAGUUUUCUUCUUUAUCCGCCGAGGAUAAAGGAGUUUGAUCCUGGCAUUCAAACCGCAAUGGAGAGUCUGAGCAAUCAGAUUUAAAAUUGUAGGUGAAUCCAGAGAGAAUCGGUUUCAACAGCCG